GGCAAGGUGGCCGAGUGGUUAUGGCGCGUGACUCAAGCAUUUUCGCUUGCCUGCUUCCAAGCAGGUCAAAGUUUCUUCGCUCGAGGUUUCUCGUAGGGCAACCUGCGUGGGUUCGAAUCCCACCCUUGUCA